rnacentral:rRNA from 1 species
GAUGAACGCUAGCGAUAGGCUUAACACAUGCAAGUCGAGGGGCAGCAUGGUCUUAGCUUGCUAAGGCUGAUGGCGACCGGCGCACGGGUGCGUAACGCGUAUGCAACUUGCCUCACAGAGGGGGAUAACCCGUCGAAAGACGGACUAAUACCGCGUACACUCUAUGUUGGGCAUCCAAUGUAGAGGAAAUGAAAUUCGCUGUGAGAUAGGCAUGCGUCCCAUUAGCUAGUUGGUGAGGUAACGGCUCACCAAGGCGACGAUGGGUAGGGGAACUGAGAGGUUGAACCCCCACACUGGUACUGAGACACGGACCAGACUCCUACGGGAGGCAGCAGUGAGGAAUAUUGGUCAAUGGGCGAGAGCCUGAACCAGCCAAGUCGCGUGAAGGAUGACUGUCUUAUGGAUUGUAAACUUCUUUUAGACGGGAAUAACAAGAGUCACGUGUGGCUCCCUGCAUGUACCGUAUGAAUAAGCAGCGGCUAACUCCGUG